rnacentral:rRNA from 1 species
GAUGAACGCUAGCGGCAGGCUUAAUACAUGCAAGUCGAGGGGCAGCAGGUCCCGCAGCAAUGCGGGAUGCUGGCGACCGGCAAACGGGUGCGGAACACGUACAGAACCUUCCUUUAAGUUGGGAAUAGCCCCGGGAAACCCGGAUUAAUACCCCGUAACAUAAUGAAGUGGCAUCACUUUAUUAGUAUAGCCGCAAUGCGCUUGAAGAUGGCUGUGCGGCUGAUUAGGUAGUUGGCGGGGUAACGUCCCACCAAGCCUACGAUCAGUAACUGGUGUGAGAGCACGACCAGUCACACGGGCGCUGAGACACGGGCCCGACUACUACGGUAGGCAGCAGUAAGGAAUAUUGGGCAAUGGACGCAAGUCUGACCCAGCCAUGCCGCGUGGAGGAUGAAGGUCCUCUGGAUUGUAAACUUCUCUUAUCUGGGAAGAAAUCUAUUUUUUCUAAAGUAGCUGACGGUACCAGAUGAAUAAGCACCGGCUAACUCCGUGCCAGCCGCCGCCGUAA